GCCUUUGUGUCCAUGUGUGAGAAUUUUCUGGGUUGCCGACCGCACUGGGGCCUGUUCAAGCAUAUAUUCACGUGUCGCUCCCAGACCGUGAAGAAGGCGAGUCCAGAUGCCGAUAAAACCAAGGUUAUCCAGAUGUGUGGAGGUCUGGGGAUCCAGAUGAGGAACAAGAGUACCUUCCCAGCCAUGACACUUCCCGAGUCGGUCAGAGGCUGGCAGUCGACUUGGUUUUACUGCCAGAACGAGUCAACGCCGGGGCAGUCGAGUGGGCUCCCUCAAUUCACCAUGGACCGAGCCAACAAGCCCUCCUCUCUGAAGGUGCUCCCGGAGGAGAAAGCCGACGUGAGGAUGCUGAUGGAGCGCGUAGUCCAGUUGGUUCGGGAAGGAGUGACGGGUAUGGAUCUCCUGGAAGUUUUUCUUAGGCGAUGUAUCCAGCCU
rnacentral:rRNA from 1 species